ensembl:snRNA U1 U1 spliceosomal RNA
AUACUUACCUGGCAGGGGAGAUACCAUGAUCACGAGGGUAGUUUUCCCAGGGCAAGGCUUAUCCAUCGCAUUCCAGAUGUGCUCACCCCUGCAAUUUCCCCAAAUGUGGGAAACUUGACUGCAUAAUUUGUGGUAGUGGAGGACUGCAUUCGCCCUCUCCCCUG